rnacentral:tRNA from 1 species
CAGAAAAUAGUUUAAAAAAAAUAUUAAUUUUGGAGAUUAAUGAUAGGAGUUUUCUUUUUUCUGA